UACGAAGGGGGCUAGCGUUGCUCGGAAUCACUGGGCGUAAAGGGUGCGUAGGCGGGUCUUUUAAGUCAGGGGUGAAAUCCUGGAGCUCAACUCCAGAACUGCCUUUGAUACUGAGGAUCUUGAGUUCGGGAGAGGUGAGUGGAACUGCGAGUGUAGAGGUGAAAUUCGUAGAUAUUCGCAAGAACACCAGUGGCGAAGGCGGCUCACUGGCCCGAUACUGACGCUGAGGCACGAAAGCGUGGGGGAGCAAACAGGA
rnacentral:rRNA from 1 species